GACGAACGCUGGCGGCGCGCUUAACACAUGCAAGUCGAGCGAGAACCAGCCCUUCGGGGCUGGGGACAGCGGCGAACGGGUGAGUAACACGUGGGUAAUCUGCCCUCGGCACCGGAAUAGCCCGGGGAAACCCGGAUUAAUGUCGGAUGGCCUCUCGAGCUCUCGGGCUCGUGAGAAAAGGUAGCUUUGGCCUCCGGCCGAGGAUGAGCCCGCGGUCGAUUAGCUUGUUGGUGAGGUAAUGGCUCACCAAGGCGACGAUCGAUAGCUGGUCUGAGAGGACGAUCAGCCACACUGGGACUGAGACACGGCCCAGACUCCUACGGGAGGCAGCAGUGGGGAAUCUUGCGCAAUGGGCGAAAGCCUGACGCAGCGACGCCGUGUGCGGGAAGAAGGCCUUCGGGUUGUAAACCGCUUUCAGGAGGGACGAAGCCACUGGGUUAAUAGCCCAGAGGGUGACGGUACCUCC
rnacentral:rRNA from 1 species